AACCGGCGAGUUACGAUCCCGUGCAAGGUUAAGCAGAAGAUGCGGAGCCGCAGCGAAAGCGAGUCUGAAUAGGGCGCAUGAGUACGUGGUCGUAGACCCGAAACCAGGUGAUCUACCCAUGUCCAGGGUGAAGUUCAGGUAACACUGAAUGGAGGCCCGAACCCACGCACGUUGAAAAGUGCGGGGAUGAGGUGUGGGGAGGGGUGAAAUGCCAAUCGAACCUGGAGAUAGCUGGUUCUCUCCGAAAUAGCUUUAGGGCUAGCCUCAAGGUAAGAGUCUCGGAGGUAGAGCACUGAUUGGACUAGGGGCCCCUACCGGGUUACCG
rnacentral:rRNA from 1 species